rnacentral:misc_RNA from 1 species
UCUCCGUAGGUGAACCUGCGGAGGGAUCAUUACAGAGUUCAUGCCCUAACGGGUAGAUCUCCCACCCUGCGUUAUUAUACUUUGUUGCUUUGGCAGGCCGCCCGCGUGGGCUACCGGCUCCAGCUGGUAAGGGCCUGCCAGAGGACCCCAAACGCUGAAUAUUUUAUUGUCUGAGUACUAUAGAAUAGUUUAAAACUUUAAACAACGGAUCUCUUGGUUCUG